rfam:Triticum aestivum genome assembly, contig: Triticum_aestivum_CS42_TGACv1_scaffold_289410_4AL
ACAAUACUUCCUUCGAUCCAUAUUACUUGUCGCUCAAACGAAUGUAUCUAGCACUAAAAUACGUCUAGAUACAUCCAUUUCAACGACAAGUAAUAUGGAUCGGAGGGAGUAGUUA